GGGCCCGCACAAGCGGUGGAGCAUGUGGUUUAAUUCGACGCAACGCGAAGAACCUUACCUGGUCUUGACAUCCUGCGAACUUUCUAGAGAUAGAUUGGUGCCUUCGGGAACGCAGUGACAGGUGCUGCAUGGCUGUCGUCAGCUCGUGUCGUGAGAUGUUGGGUUAAGUCCCGUAACGAGCGCAACCCUUGUCCUUAUUUGCCAUCAUUUAGUUGGGCACUCUAGGAGACUGCCGGUGACAAACCGGAGGAAGUGGGGACGACGUCAAGUCAUCAUGGCCCUUACGACCAGGGCUACACACGUGCUACAAAUGGGGCGUACAAAGGGCUGCGAAACCGCGAGGUGGAG
rnacentral:rRNA from 1 species